rnacentral:misc_RNA from 1 species
GCUCUUCCUCGCUGUCUUCGGCUUGCACCCCCCGCGCCCUCCUCGCCGGCUCUGUUGCGCCAUCUCGACCCCCUGCGCUUCGCUCUUUCUCCUGCGUGCCUCCGCCUCGCCUCUCUCAGCUCUUCGUUGUGAGGCUUCGAAAAUGGCGUUGAAGCUCGGCGUCAUUAUCUACGUGGUCCUCCAGUUCAUCGCGCUCUUGUGCGUGAUGAUCGGUACGGGGGUGGACAUGUUCUACCUCAAACACAGUCCGGGCUCUAGUGCCAGGGUAUGCGUCACCUUAUGGGGUGCAAAGAGCGAUUGCCGAAAGACGAAAAUAACCAACCCGUCGGACAAACGGUGGGCGAGCUGCCCCAUCCGCCGCAGAAACUUCCGCAUUGGUCAGGCGUUCGCUGUCAUCACCAUCUUCGUGUACGGCUUGGCGUUCCUCUUUGGCUUUCUUUUGCUGUACUGCUGCUCUGGCUUCCGCUGGCUCUGCCUGGCGCUGAACAUCGUGGGCGCUGCUGCCGCUUGCGUUGUCUGGGCGGUCAUGGCGGUGACCUACAGAGUCAAUGAACCGAAUUGCACGACGCUGAAUCUGGUCUACAAUUUCGGCACCGGCUUUGGUCUCUUCGUGUUUGCCUGGAUCCUGGGAAUCCUCGACAUCAUCUUCCUGAUGGUCCCGUUGCAAAUUGGGGAGUCCGGUGAGGGUGCGGAAUCGACGGAGCAGGAGAAGGAGUCUCAAAAAGCACCGGAGGAGUAGGAGGGAGAGUGCCGCAGGGAGCGACGGGCGAACUCGACGGCAGCGCGGCAGCUCCACCGGGACGUCCUCGUCCUCGUCCCCUCCCCAGCGCGUGUCUUCCGCUGAGUUGCCGCCGCUCCCUCUUCGCUUUUGCCUCUGCUGUGCUGCACGGCGCCCGGCGCUUUGCAGUGGGCAGCGCACCCUUUGCGAAGCGAGAGCGCGAGAGGGGAAGCGAGGGGGUGGCGCGGCCGUCGCUGGCCGGACCUCAACGCGGGAAUGCGAAGGAGCGCGGCGGGAGACGCAACGCCGCACCGCAUCGGUCACCAGCCUCCGUCCACCAUCCGUGCCUCGCAGUCGCCGCCGCGCGUGUUUGUGGUGUCUCUCCCGCGCCCCCUCUCCCCCGUCUCUGCCUCGCCCCCUCGCGCACACCGCAGGGACUCCUCGAACGGAGUGGUGGAGGGAGGGGAGACGGGGUGCCACAGGUGUGGUUGUGGCGGGUGCAGGCGCCACAGAGGCCCAUGCGCAGGCGCAGCGGCGGGCGGUUGCAGGUCGUCUUCCUCUUUGCUAGCGCCUCAUGCACGCCUUACGUGUGCGCGCACACCGACGCGCGCGGGGGCGCACACGAGGGCACCCCCCGGCGUGCAGGGGAGUGCGGGGUCGGGCGAGGCCGGGGGGGGAGGGCCAGGCUGGCGAGGCGGGCGGGGGAGGCGCCCACGGCGCACGGAAGGCGACGCGACGUCGGACAUGUGCGCGUGGCGCUUGCGCUUUGCUCUUCUCCGUCUCUCGUUUCUCUGCGGUUUCUCGUUGACGCGCGCUUCCGCUCGAUGGGCUACUGUGCCGCACGGGGUGUGCGUGUGUGCACGUGCCCGCGCCCUUGUGACCCUCCACCCCCUUCCUCAGUGGAUGCCCCUUCCACGUCGCCUCUCCCUUGCUGCGGCGACUCCCCGCGCCCCUCGCACCCACACGGAGGAGGCGGCGCCACGACAGGGAAGCCGUCGGCGCACUCUCUGUCCGUUCUUGUUUUGUUGCUGCUGUUUCCUCUUCUCUUCUCGUGUUCUUGGUGGCGCCCGCCGCUCGGUGCUCUCCUUUCUCUCCGUCCUCCGCAGGCCAACGAGGUGUUCGGGGUGCCUGCGUGCGUGCGUGCGCCUCAGUAUAUGCUUGCUUAGUCUUUAUUAUCUCUGUGCCUUCCGUGUGUCGUUUCUUCUUUUGCUUUGCUUGUUUGGUUGCCUCAUCACACCACCGAGUCCUCCAGACGCGGGUGUAGAGAGUGUCCACACCGCAUUACGGCAUGCCGCGGCUUGAAGCGAGUGAGCGAGAGGCAUGGCAUAUGGCGGCGUAGUGCAGGGCCUCAGAGGGCCCCGACCUGCGGCUGGCCAACCUCCUCUCGGCGCUUGCCGGGCAUGCACCUAGGCCACCCCCUGUUACCCACCCGACUGACGUCUCCGCCUCCGCCCUCGAGCAGGACCCUGGACGCGUCCCGCCUGCACCGUGGCAUGUCGUCUGCCCGGAUCGCCGUCUGGCGCCGCCAGCGCUGCACGCACCCGAUGAGGGGACGCGCACGGACAGGAUGAACCGGUAAGGCGCAUGGCCCGGCUCAGCGGCAGGCACUGCGUCCGUGGUGACCGGGAUGCAGCCGUGGUGCAACCGAGGCGGGGGUGAGCUGUGCUUCAACUCGCGUGUUUGUGGACUUGCCGGUAGAGCGGGGCGUCGACAGGUGCCGCACUGCCUCUGGCAGACACGCAAAACGUAAACCGCCAAAACGAAGGGGAGGAGCACGCGCACGCGACCGUCGCAACAUGCGACGCGUUCGUCCGGCCCCCGACCGCUCGCGUUUGUCGCCACCCGAAACGGCAGAGCGCGUGCGUGCGCGUGCUUCUGCCCUCCUUUUUCCUCGCUUUGUCUUUCCGUUUGUGCCGCGUCCUCCUGCGCGUGCGGCUGUUCACGUUUCUCUCGCGCACAUGCUUUCGUGCCUUCAACUCGCCGACGCCGACAGCGUGCGCGCCGGCACUGGCGUCGCCCUCUUCUCCGAGGAGAGGGGUGGAGGGGGCGGCGAGCACCUUGCUGCUGCCAGCGGCGCGGCUGUGCUAUGUGCGUGCGCGUGUACGCCGGUCUAUGUGCCAGUAUGUGCGCACGCGCGUGUGCGUGCGUGUGUGUGUGCCUCCUGGCGACGCAGCCUCCAUGUGCACUCGUUCCUCUUCAUCUGCCCCUCUCUUCUCUGCUGCGCCUUGGCGCUUGUCUCAUGCGUGCUUGUUGGCGACGCACGAGGAUGGGGAGCGGCACCCCAG